GUCCACGCCGUAAACGAUGGGUGCUAGGUGUGGGGGUGUCGACUCCCCCUGUGCCGAAGCUAACGCAUUAAGCACCCCGCCUGGGGAGUACGGCCGCAAGGCUAAAACUCAAAGGAAUUGACGGGGCCCGCACAAGCAGCGGAGCAUGUGGUUUAAUUCGACGCAACGCGAAGAACCUUACCAAGGCUUGAAAUGCUCGGGAAAGCCGGAGAAAUUCGGCCCUCCUUCGGGACUCGAGUACAGGUGGUGCAUGGCUGUCGU
rnacentral:rRNA from 1 species